UACGAAGGGGGGCUAGCGUUGUUCGGAAUUACUGGGCGUAAAGCGCGCGCAGGCGGUUCUUUAAGUCAGGGGUGAAAGCCCAGAGCUCAACUCUGGAAUUGCCUUUGAAACUAGAGAACUUGGGUACGGGAGAGGUGAGUGGAAUUCCGAGUGUAGAGGUGAAAUUCGUAGAUAUUCGGAAGAACACCAGUGGCGAAGGCGGCUCACUGGCCCGUUACCGACGCUCAGGCGCGACAGCGUGGGGAGCAAACAGG
rnacentral:rRNA from 1 species